UACGGGAGGCAGCAGUGGGGAAUAUUGCACAAUGGGCGCAAGCCUGAUGCAGCCAUGCCGCGUGUAUGAAGAAGGCCUUCGGGUUGUAAAGUACUUUCAGUCGUGAGGAAGGUGUUAAGGUUAAUAACCUUAGCAAUUGACGUUAGCGACAGAAGAAGCACCGGCUAACUCCGUGCCAGCAGCCGCGGUAAUACGGAGGGUGCGAGCGUUAAUCGGAAUUACUGGGCGUAAAGGGCACGCAGGCGGUUAAUUAAGUUGGAUGUGAAAUCCCCGGGCUUAACCUGGGAAUGGCAUUCAAGACUGGUUAGCUAGAGUCUUGUAGAAGGGGGUGAAUUCCAUGUGUAGCGGUGAAAUGCGUAGAGAUGUGGAGGAAUACCGGUGGCGAAGGCGGCCCCUGGGACAAAGACUGACGCUCAUGUGCGAAAGCGUGGGGAGCGAAACAGGGAUUAGAUACC
rnacentral:rRNA from 1 species